UCCUCCUUAUCGAAGGCAGUUUCCUAAGAGUGCCUCUCUUGCGAGAGUAGCAACAUAGGAUGGGGGUUGCGCUCGUUGCGGGACUUAACCCAACAUCUCACGACACGAGCUGACGACAACCAUGCAGCACCUCUACUCGCUCCCUUGCGGGUCGCUCAAUGUUUCCAUCGAACUACCACGAGCAGUUCAAGCCCAGGUAAGGUUCUUCGCGUUGCGUCGAAUUAAACCACAUGCUCCACCGCUUGUGCGGGCCCCCGUCAAUUCCUUUGAGUUUCAACCUUGCGGCCGUACUCCCCAGGCGGUUCACUUAAUGCGUUAGCUACGGCGCGGAAGGGGUCGAUACCUCCCACACCUAGUGAACAUAGUUUAGGGCUAGGACUAC
rnacentral:misc_RNA from 1 species